GAAUACAUGAUAUAAUCAUCGAGACAGUAAAGUUUAAUGACGGUGGCAACUUCAAAAAAGGUGGGGGUGCUUAUGUUGGUAAGUGCUAAAAUCAAUGAAAGGAGUAGCCUUUUGUUCGCAUAUGAGACAAUUCAAACCAUUCUCGCCUUUGGUAUGUUUACCAUGACUUUGAUUGGUUUGGU
rfam:Enterococcus villorum ATCC 700913 genomic scaffold acvIF-supercont1.6, whole genome shotgun sequence.